AGAUCUCAAAUGAAUGACAUUACAUAGUGAUUCCGUGUAUAUGACAUCCUGGAAAAGGUGAAAUUACAGGACACCUUGCAGGUGGGUAUCAGGACAGACUGAGGAAGGUUUUGGGGCAGGAGAUAUGAAAGUAUUCUAUAUUCUAGAAAUCUGAAUAUAGACCUACCAUAUGACCCAGCCAUCCACUCCUGGGAAGUUGCCCAAGAGAAAUGAAAUCAGCAUAUGAAAGAGUGAUCUGUACCCUCAUGUUUAUUGCAGCUCAAUUCACAAUAGCUAAGAUAUUGAAUCAACCCAAGUGCCCAUCAUCUGAAGACUGGAUAAAGAAAUUAUGGGAUAUGUACACCAUGGACCACUACACAGUGGUAAAAAAAGAAAAAAAUUAAGUUGUUUGCAACAAAAUGGAUGAAACUGGAAGUCAUAUUUAGUGAAAUAAGCCAGUCCCAAAAUGACAAAUACCAUAUGUUCUCCCUGAACUGUGAUAACUAAUAGAGCACCAAAAAGGCAACCUAUAGAAGUGAAAUUGACACUCUGAAUAGCCCUAGUCCUGACUGUUGAGGAACAGUGUUUUGUUUUUUUUUUCAUACUAUUUGUUGAACUUUUUACUUAACAGAGUUAAUCAUAUGUGUAUAAAGGUAAUUGAAAAUAGAUCUUAGUAAAAAAAAAUAAGAAUGGGAAUAGGAGAGGGUGGAGGAAGAGGGGUUGGGGGAAUGGUGGGUAGGGUGGGAAGAAUCACCGUGUUCUUAAAGUUGUAAUUAUGAAAUGUAUGAAGUUUGUAAAGGGUUUCUGGGGUGUGGGGAAAGUGUUCUGUAUUACUGUGACCAGCCUACCCCAAAGUUAGAAGCCGGACUCCCUCAUCCAACUGUACAGCCAAGAGAUAUGUGCUUGCUUGGCCCUGGAGUUGCAUGGUGUGGGGAACACAAGAGACCCAGAUCCUUCCAGCUGCGGGGCUCCCCAGAGAUGAGCAGGAGAAGGCAGGACACGAACUCUGCAAGGCACGAACUCUGCAGCACCCAAGUCAGGAACCAUCUUUCUCAGAGGGCCAUAAGGAUUAAAAACCGCCUGAACAGGGAGAGACAAGGAGCACAGGGAAGGACAUCUUCAGUAAUUCUGCAAGACGGCUUUGGGGACAACCAAUCAGAAGCAGCUGUGAGGACCUGCGCUGUGGCAUAGCAAGUUAAGGCUGCUGUCUGCAUCCCACGUGGACACUGGUUCGAGUCUCAGCUGCUUCAUUUCUGGUCCAGCUCCCUGCUAAUGAGCCUGGGAAAGCAGUAGAGGAUGGCCCAGGUCCUUGGGGCCCUGUACCCAAGGGUGAGCCUGGAUGAACCUCUUGGUUUUGGCCUGACCCAGCUCCGGCAUUGCAGCCAUUUUGGGAGCUAACCAGCAGAUGUAAGAUCUCUCUCCCCAAAUCCUCUCUCUGUAGCUCUGUAUUUCAGAUAAAUGAAAUAAAUACUUUAAAAAGAAGCA
rnacentral:lncRNA from 1 species